rnacentral:rRNA from 1 species
AUUGAACGCUGGCGGCAGGCCUAAGACAUGCAAGUCGAGCGAGAAAGCCCUUCGGGGUGAGUACAGCGGCGGACGGGUGAGUAACGCGUAGGAAUCUACCCAGUAGUGGGGGACAACUAGUGGAAACGCUAGCUAAUACCGCAUACGCCCUAAGGGGGAAAGCGGGGGAUCUUCGGACCUCGUGCUAUUGGAUGAGCCUGCGUAAGAUUAGCUUGUUGGUGAGGUAAUGGCUCACCAAGGCUACGAUCUUUAGCUGGUCUGAGAGGAUGAUCAGCCACACCGGGACUGAGACACGGCCCGGACUCCUACGGGAGGCAGCAGUCGGGAAUAUUGCGCAAUGGGGGAAACCCUGACGCAGCCAUGCCGCGUGUGUGAAGAAGGCCCUAGGGUUGUAAAGCACUUUCAAUUGGGAGGAAAAGCUAAUGGUUAAAAACCAUUAGCCUUGACGUUACCUUUAGAAGAAGCACCGGCUAACUCCG